rnacentral:lncRNA from 1 species
CUUCAGAAUUUUGAAUUAUAUAAAAAUGUAAAUUGAACAUCUUUCUAUAACAGCAUAUAUAAGCCUACCUCAUCCUCAAGGUCGCAUAGUGUUCCAUUGUAUGGAUGGACCACAAUUUAUUUCGCCAAUGCGAGCUAGUACUAAGAUUGUUCCCCUCUUAGUGAGGAGGAAACAAAGUCUGAGGGAGAUAGUUUGCCCAAGCCAGCCACUGUUGGACUUGGCGUCUGCGUCCCAGUGGUGGGGUGGGGCAGCACAGGCCUGACCUAGCAAUCCCAUAGCCUGUACCCGGGUGGAGGCACGUCUGUCGGGGGUGGGUUCAACUCCUGUUUCUACUGUAUUUCUUCGUUUGCGACUUUCUGUUGAUCUCUCUGAUGAAUCCAGCUCCCAACAAGUAUGUCAAUGGUUUUCGAAUGUUAGCGCCCAUAAAAUCACCUGGAGGUCUUGUUAAAACACAGAUUCCUGCGCCUCCCCAAGAGACUCCUACUCAGCAGGUCUAGGGUGGGAACUGAAAUUCUGAAUUUCUGACCAGUUCGCAGGCGAUGCUGAUGCUACCAGUCCAUGGACCACACUUCGAGUAGGCAAAGUGCUCUCUAACACUAAAGCCCACACAAAUUCAGGAGAAUGUGAACUUUAGGUCUUUAUGAAGCCCUUUGUGAAUGCUGGCUAUGGUGGCAGGUAUUAUGGGGAAAAAAAGAAGCACAAUAUUGGGCCUCAUUCAUGAAGACUUAAGAAUUUAGUUGGUGAAAACAAAACAUAUGUCACAAAAACAUAAAUUUUCAGUGCAAGGAAGAGUGAGAUAAGUGCCAAAGGAAUAGUCUUUAAUUAGAAACCAGUUCGGGGGAAAAAAACAUUCUAUUUAGUGCAGACCAUUGGAUUUCUGGCAUCUACUUACAGAAUAUCAAUUUUGCUGGUAAAACUUUCCUCCUUCAUUUUAGUGUGUGCAGAAUUAGCAUUCUCCCAGAACUCCUCAACGACUGGUUUGAACCCCUGCUUGCUGACCCAUCACUUAGCUAAGACGGUCCUAAGAAGCACAUCGUCAGAAGGGAAGGCUGUCUUAGGCCGGGUCCUAGAGAAGAGCAUGAGAUAAGGAUUCUGUGCAAGUGAUUUAUUUAGGGAGAGCUCUCGGGAGGAAGCUGUGACAAGGUGAGGGAAGCAGGACAGGGCAGGGCAGGAGCAGAACAAGGAUGUGGUCUCAGUUGUGGCCUUACCUGACUCCACGGGGAGCUCUGGAGCAGGAAGGGCACAAGAGCUGCCUCACCUUGAAUCAGGGGGCCACCCUUUAGUACCCUAAUAUCAGUCAUUGACGAUGGCUACCCUUGGGUGCUGUAGCAUCAUCUCUCAGGUGAAGCAGCUCCCAUCAGCACUGGCACCUUCAUUAGGACCUUGCAGGCCUAGGGACCCCUGCACUGUGUUUUCCUGGACUUCUGACUUUCCCCAUUUCCACUCCGAUUCUCACAAUCUUUGUAAAAACUCACUUUUCAUAUUUUAUUUAGCAAGAAUUGCUCACAUCUUCUAGACACCAGGUAUUUGUGAGGUCCUAUCAGGGCCUUAAGCUCUCUGUUUCAAAGCCCACAGUGACAUCAUUUGAUAAUGAACUGUGACCUGAUGGCUAUGGGGAGAACCCUGGCACUCUCUCUCAGGGCGGUACACCUGUAAUUUACCCAGUGUGAGAUUUCAUGGCCUGCCUUUAGUCUAGCCCUCUCCUAGCCUACUCCACACUGCAGCCCCGGGAAUCUGCUGUAAAGAGAGUCUGACCACUUCAUUCUCAUGUAAGAUCUUCGAGGGGGCCCUAUUGCCCUCAGAGGAAAGUCUAAAUUCCCAGUUCUCAUCUGUAAGAUCCUUCAUGCUCUGAUACCAGCUUACCUCAUCUUUCACCUCUCCUUAAGCUUGAAGAAUGCUGAAGUGUCUGCUCACCAGGGUCUAAGGUGGUUGUAGUAUGCUGAAUAAUGGCCACCCAAAGAUAGUGAUCCUAACCCUGGAAACUGUUAGUCUUACUUUACAAGGACAAAGGGUUUUUGCAGAUGUGAUUGUUAAGGCUCUCAAGAUGGAGAGAUUAUCCUAGAUUACCCAGAUGGGCCUUAAAUGCAGUCACAAGUGUCUUUAUAAGAGAGGCAGAGGGAAAUUCCACACACACAGGAGAAAGUGAUGUGAAGACAGAGGCAGAGAUUGAAGUGAUGUGGCCACAAACCAAGGAAUGCAGGCAGCCCCCAGAAGCUGAGAGGCAAGAACAGAUUCUCCCCUGGAGCCUCCAUAGGAAGCAUGGCUCUGUCAACACCUUGAUUUCAGACUUCUAACCUCCAGAACAGUGAGACCAGCUGCCAUGAUGAAGGAGACAAAAUCUCUGCCUUCAAGGAUGAGAGGCAGAUGGAGCAGAGCUAUCCCAGCUGGCUCUCCCAGGCAAGCCCAGCCCAGACAGAAUCCCAUCUGACCCACAGAUGCGUAAGUGAGCCCAGCAGAGACCAGCAGAACCACCCAGCUCAUACCUGCUGAACCCUGCAGAAGUAAACUAUGAUGGUUUCAUGGUGACCUGAACAAGUGUUGAAUCAAAGGUCAAGAAGGGUGAGAGACAUAUUGCAGAGUGAACAAGAAAAUAGAGACAACAGGGGUUAUUAACUACUUCUCGGUAGAAGAACCAUCCAUGGUCUCUUGGUCUCAGCUCUGACUUCAGCCAUGGAUGGGUAGAUAGUUCUGUACAGGCUUUGACUCACUUCAACCAGGCAGUGUCUUACCUAUAGCGUGUAUCUUGAGUUUUCCCUUCUGUCCCAGAGCUCCCCUAAUGCCAUCGGUACUGGUGAAGCUUGUUCAGCUCUGUACAUGCAAGCUUGGAAGUAUGGGGGAAUUAACACCUCUGCGAGGUGAUUAACAACCCUCCACCCAUGGGAAUGAGAGCUGAUGGAUAAAUGCUUCUGUCUCUCAUUAUUCACAAUAGCCAAGACAUGGAAACAAACUGUGUCCAUCAACAGAUAAAUAAAGAAAAAAUAUAUAUGUGUGUGUGUGUGUCUACACACACACACACACAGAUAUAUAUACAAAAUGGAAUAUUCGGCCUUAAAAAAGAAGGAAAUCCUGUCAUUUGAGACAACACGGAUAGACCUUGAGGGUAUUAUGCUAAGUGAAAUAAGUUAGACAGAGAGACACAAGUAGUGUAUGACCUUAGUUACAUGUGGAAUCUAAAAAACUAGCCAAAUUCAUAGAAACAGAGACGAGAAUAGUGGCUGCCAAGGGC